GAUGAAGAACGUAGCGAAAUGCGAUAAGUAAUGCGAAUUGCAGAAUUCCAGUGAGUCAUCGAAUCUUUGAACGCACAUUGCGCCCUUUGGUAUUCCGAAGGGCAUGCCUGUUCGAGCGUCAUUAUCACCCCUCAAGCCCUCGGCUUGGUGUUGGACGGUUUGGUGGAGGCCCCCUCGGGGGCUCCUGCCCCUCCCAAAGACAAUGACGGCGGCCUCGUUGGACCCCCGGUACACUGAGUUCUUCACGGGACACGUAUCGGACACAUGGGUUUACGGGACACGGUCUGCCUCCCCUCAGGGAGAAUCUUUCUAAGGUUGACCUCGGAUCAGGUAAGGAUACCCGCUGAACUUAAGCAUAUCAAUAAGCGGAGGA
rnacentral:misc_RNA from 1 species